rnacentral:rRNA from 1 species
GACGAACGCUGGCGGCGUGCUUAACACAUGCAAGUCGAACGGAAAGGCCCCCACUUUUUUGGUGGGGGUGCUCGAGUGGCGAACGGGUGAGUAACACGUGGGUGAUCUGCCCUGUACUUCGGGAUAAGCUUGGGAAACUGGGUCUAAUACCGGAUAGGACCAUGGUUUAGUGUCUCAUGGUGGAAAAAUUAUUGUUUUGGUGCAGGAUGAGCUCGCGGCCUAUCAGCUUGUUGGUGGGGUAAUGGCCUACCAAGGCGUCGACGGGUAGCCGGCCUGAGAGGGUGGACGGCCACAUUGGGACUGAGAGACGGCCCAGACUCCUACGGGAGGCAGCAGUGGGGAAUAUUGCACAAUGGGCGCAAGCCUGAUGCAGCGACGCCGCGUGGGGGAUGACGGCCUUCGGGUUGUAAACUCCUUUCGUUAGGGACGAAGCCGCACCUUUUUUGGGUGUGGUGACGGUACCUUUGUUAAGAAGCACCGGCUAACUACGUG